CUCCGUAAGGAGUGUGAGAGCUAAAUAACUAAAAUAAUGAAAAUUCCUCUUUGACUAGCCGAUAGCGAUAUCGGCUAUUUUUUU
rnacentral:sRNA from 1 species